CCUGCCUCGGUCCCAGGAAGAAAAAGUUUGUGGCCGUGCACAGUUACAGCAAGAAAAGACGGUCCCAAGGAGCAACUGUGCGGAAAGGGAGCGAACGAGCGAACUUUCCUCUCCUGCUUUCCCGGGAAAGGGGGAACGGCGCGGCAUCUGCGAGGUCUCUCUCCCCCUACGGGGCCCCUCAACAAAUGGCAUCCGAAGGAUUUAGACAGCUAAAACUGUUUUUGAGGGGGUGGGGGGGUCCCCCAGGGCGCUCACGGCACUGGCAGAGGAAAACACGGCCGGAGAGCCCGGUCCGUUCCUGGCGUGUGCUCCAAGGAGUCUGUUCCCCAUCUCCAACCAUUCUAACCGCGGAGUCAAGUCUGAACAAAGCAAAGUGGGGAAAACAAUCCCGCAGCCCUGCAGGCAAAACGCUUUAGAAGCAAAAGAGGGCGGGAGGGCGGGAGGGAGCCGAGCUGACACCCGGCGCGGACGGCGCGCUCCGCCUGGCUUACCUGCGUGGCUCUGGGCAGCGGCACACAGGAGGCAGAAGGCGACGCUCCAGGGCUGCGGCAGGGCUGACAGCGCCCGAGCCCUCCGUUUCCACCUCGUAGACUUGCACAUACAUGGUGGUGGACAUGGGAAUUGUAAAGAGAAAGCCAGAAAGAAAUGGACUGUGGAAAAAUUCAGUUGUCGCUGGCUCCAGAAUCCUCAUAAUCUCAAGGAAAGCCACGCUCGGAGGAUCCCCUCAAUGUGGGCGCAACGGACAAGCUGAUGAGGUGGUUCCGACCCGCGAGCCACAGCAGACACACUCGGGGCAGUAACAUUUCCAGAGAGGCAGGUGCUCACUCACUCCGAAAUCCCCCUUGGCUGUCUUACAUGUGAGAGGGAAGGGAGGAAGGAGACAGAGAGGCCUAGAGAGAAAGGAGGGAGGGAGGCACAAGAAGGCCGGCCUCAGGGAGAGUCCUGGGGUCCCAGCGCCCUCCCCAAGGCUGCCAGAAGCCAGCAGAGGCCUUCGAGGGAGCCUGAUCCAGCACUGAGACGGCUGGUGCUGUGGAGACGCUCCCUUUGAAUCACCCAAGAGCAAAUGUCGGUGGCAGAGGAAGAGUUUCCUGCAAAAUAUUUAUGGACCACCGCGAGAAUGGUCUCCUUUGCUGCUAAUUUCUUGGAAAAGCCAAAACGUAGGUGGAACGCAUGAUUAAUGGGGAAAAUAUACAAGCUAGCUGGUUUUCCUGCCCUGACCUCAUCCAUUUUGGUUAUUCGCUCUAUCUGUUGUGGCGGCAGUGUGCUGUUUCUAAGGAGCACCUGUCCANAAAGGAAAACCUCUUUGCCUUUCCUCCUCCUC
rnacentral:lncRNA from 1 species